rnacentral:misc_RNA from 1 species
GAUGAAGAACGCAGCGAAAUGCGAUAAGUAAUGUGAAUUGCAGAAUUCAGUGAAUCAUCGAAUCUUUGAACGCACAUUGCGCCCGCCAGUAUUCUGGCGGGCAUGCCUGUUCGAGCGUCAUUUCAACCCUCAAGACCCCUUCGGGGGACUUGGUGUUGGGGACCGGCACAGGGGCCUGCCUGCUUGUCUUGCAGCGCCCUCGCCGCCCCCGAAAUGAAUUGGCGGCCUCGUCGCGGCCUCCCCUGCGUAGUAGCACAAACCUCGCAACGGGAACGUGACGGCGGCCACUGCCGUAAAACAACCCAAUUUUAUUAGAGUUGACCUCGAAUCAGGUAGGAAUACCCGCUGAACUUAAGCUUAUCAAUAAGCGGAGGA